ACACCACCCCAGGGCACAUGGACACCAGGUUCUACCUCCACCUGGAGAUUACCGGAGCGUGUAACUGGCAAAGUUUCACGAGGCACAAUAAAACUUUCUGGGUAAAACAGCCAGGGAUUGACGUCCACUAACCAACAGGCUCCGCCUCUGUCUCUUAGAGGAUUAUUAUGAUUGGCUGCUGUUUUGCACCUUGGAUCAUCUGAAGAACUGAUUGGCUGCUGUUUAGCGCCUAAAAGUUUUAUUUCAUUUAUUAUCUAAAAUAAAUAAAAACGAUUUCCUUUUCAUUUUAAA